AUGAACGCUGGCGGCGUGCCUAAUACAUGCAAGUCGAGCGAACGGACGAGAAGCUUGCUUCUCUGAUGUUAGCGGCGGACGGGUGAGUAACACGUGGAUAACCUACCUAUAAGACUGGGAUAACUUCGGGAAACCGGAGCUAAUACCGGAUGAUAUUUUGAACCGCAUGGUUCAAAAGUGGAAGACGGUCUUGCUGUCACUUAUAGAUGGAUCCGCGCUGCAUUAGCUAGUUGGUAAGGUAACGGCUUACCAAGGCAACGAUGCAUAGCCGACCUGAGAGGGUGAUCGGCCACACUGGAACUGAGACACGGUCCAGACUCCUACGGGAGGCAGCAGUAGGGAAUCUUCCGCAAUGGGCGAAAGCCUGACGGAGCAACGCCGCGUGAGUGAUGAAGGUCUUCGGAUCGUAAAACUCUGUUAUUAGGGAAGAACAUAUGUGUAAGUAACUGUGCACAUCUUGACGGUACCUAAUCAGAAAGCCACGGCUAACUACGUG
rnacentral:rRNA from 1 species